AGGAAGUUAGUCUAACAAAGACAGUUGAUUUCGACUCAACAAAUCAUAGCUACACCCUAUGACUCCCUC
rnacentral:tRNA from 1 species